GAAUUGGUCCGCAGGACGGUGCCACAGCUUAAGAUCACCUCUCUCUUUCACACCGAAGACCAGGUUAAUGGAGUCGGGCGCAGCGGGGGCUAGGUGGUGGUGGUGGUCUGGAGCUGUCGACAAGGUUUCUCAAUGAUAUUUAUUUCCCAUAACCUCGAUCACCAAACAUUUCAUUUUGUUGGUUAUGCCCUGCGUGGCAAUUAUGAACUUGUUUACUGCUUUCCCUAAACAACUGAACAAUUGAGUUGCUCUUGGGCACUCAGACACCGUGAUAACGAACUCUCUAAACUUGACCGGAGUCCUCAUA